UAUACCUAAGUUGCGCAACAAUGGAAAUUGGCCGCCAUUUUCGAUCAACAUCGCCUGCGAGGUUACGGCGAUUCUGCGUGAUCCGCGGCUAGGCUGGUGCCUUCUGCUAUAGAAUUAAAGGCCGUUCGGCUCUUAAUUGCAGCGGGAAUAGCAAAACAGUGCAACUAUUGAAGCUAUCAUCAGAUGCAGAGAAGGAGGAAAUGGGAAAAUAAUUGUAGGCGACGUAAAGGCCGGAAAUCUGGCCCAGGCAGUUCCUUGUGUGAGACUCAUUUUUGAAGAAUACCAAUUUGAUCCGAAGAGUACGGAAAAAUGGAAAAAAUCUAAAUAAAAGGGGAUGACAAUAUUCGAUGUGCCAAAUCCACCAAAUAAUUCAAAUCAUCAAGACCUGAAUUAACUAAAAUAUUGACUGAGAUGAAGUUUCAAAAAAUAACAAUAGCCCUACAGUUUGAUUGAAACAUCCGACUACAGGACGAACCAGUUGUGUCAUAAACUUAUAAUGUU